rnacentral:rRNA from 1 species
AGGUUAAUGAGGCGAACCGGGGGAACUGAAACAUCUAAGUACCCCGAGGAAAAGAAAUCAACCGAGAUUCCCCCAGUAGCGGCGAGCGAACGGGGAGCAGCCCAGAGCCUGAAUCAGUAUGUGUGUUAGUGGAAGCGUCUGGAAAGGCGCGCGAUACAGGGUGACAGCCCCGUACACAAAAAUGCACAUGCUGUGAGCUCGAUGAGUAGGGCGGGACACGUGGUAUCCUGUCUGAAUAUGGGGGGACCAUCCUCCAAGGCUAAAUACUCCUGACUGACCGAUAGUGAACCAGUACCGUGAGGGAAAGGCGAAAAGAACCCCGGCGAGGGGAGUGAAAAAGAACCUGAAACCGUGUACGUACAAGCAGUGGGAGCACGCUUAGGCGUGUGACUGCGUACCUUUUGUAUAAUGGGUCAGCGACUUAUAUUCUGUAGCAAGGUUAACCGAAUAGGGGAGCCGAAGGGAAACCGAGUCUUAACUGGGCGUUAAGUUGCAGGGUAUAGACCCGAAACCCGGUGAUCUAGCCAUGGGCAGGUUGAAGGUUGGGUAACACUAACUGGAGGACCGAACCGACUAAUGUUGAAAAAUUAGCGGAUGACUUGUGGCUGGGGGUGAAAGGCCAAUCAAACCGGGAGAUAGCUGGUUCUCCCCGAAAGCUAUUUAGGUAGCGCCUCGUGAAUUCAUCUCCGGGGGUAGAGCACUGUUUCGGCAAGGGGGUCAUCCCGACUUACCAACCCGAUGCAAACUGCGAAUACCGGAGAAUGUUAUCACGGGAGACACACGGCGGGUGCUAACGUCCGUCGUGAAGAGGGAAACAACCCAGACCGCCAGCUAAGGUCCCAAAGUCAUGGUUAAGUGGGAAACGAUGUGGGAAGGCCCAGACAGCCAGGAUGUUGGCUUAGAAGCAGCCAUCAUUUAAAGAAAGCGUAAUAGCUCACUGGUCGAGUCGGCCUGCGCGGAAGAUGUAACGGGGCUAAACCAUGCAC